AUUUGGUUUGCGAGAAGGCUGUACUUGAAGGCAAGGAUGACCGUGGUGAACCUUGUGUUAUUGUUUCUUCCGAACACGUUGAUGUUUCGCGACAAAGCGAGUUGAAUUUAAAAUCUCCACCAGAUGACACCAUCAAUCAGACUAAAAAAAAUGCAAGUGAAUCGAUUGCUGAAUUCAAAUCAAAGGAGUCUGGUCCUUCUUCAAGCCGCUUCAUACCGACGCAAACUGGUUGUAAAGUCCGUAUUUGUCCAUUUGAUGCUAAUCACAUUUUAUUCAGUGAUGCCACCAAACAAGACAUCAUUCAUAAUUGGCUGGAAGAAGGACGUCCUAAAGGGGCCAAGUUCGUAUCUCGACUAACUUUUUUCAGUUCUGUUUUAAU